CCGCCUGGGAAAGUAAGCCUCCGGCUUCCGCCUUGAGAGGGAAGGACUCAUGACGCAUAUUCUCCAAAUAGGAAAAGAGUUCCAAUAAUGUGGCCUCAAAACACGCCACAUACCAAGCGGUUUUCUGCAGAUGGGGGGUGGGCCCGAAGCCCGAAGCGGCCAGACGGAACGGCAUUCUGAGACGCAGAGAUGCAUUUUCAUUUCCUAAAGGCUGGGAUUUCCCACGAAGAUGGAGCUGCUAGUGGCUGGAGAGGAUUCCAGAGUCUCCCUCCCCGUCUGCCUUCAGCCCAGCCUCUGCCCCGGGGACUGACCCAGAGCCCCUGUCCUCCCUGGAGCCCCCGCGUUCCGGGCAGCCUUGCUCGGCGCCAUAAAAAGAAGGAGGUGACAUCUCAGAGAGCUGUCGUGGGGCUGGAGGAGGCCUGUGGAA